CGGUAGACGCUACGGACUUAAAUAAUUUGAGCGUUAGUAGAAAAACUUACUAAAUGCUAGCUUUCAGAUUCAGGGAAACUUAGGUUGAUAAAAAUAUAAGCAAUCCUGAGCCAAAUCUUAUUUCGUUUGAAAAUAAAAUAGGUGCAGAGACUCAAUGGAAGCUAUCCUAACGAAUAACAUUUUAAAAAUUAUUUAAAAUUUAUUUUUUAGAUAUUAAGCGAGGAUAAAGAUAGAGUCCAAUUUUACAUGUUAAUUUUAGCAACAAUUUAAAUUGUAGUAGAAAGAAAAUCCGUUGGCUUUAUUGACCGUGAGGGUUCAAGUCCCUCUACCCCCA
rnacentral:ncRNA from 1 species